AUCGUCUUCGUCAAUUUUAUUCUACUGUGAUACCACUCUCUGGCUCUUCCAUCGAUGAUGACGCUUAUUCCGCUUCUUCUUCUCAUCACUUCGGCCGUCGGGUUACUUCUCUUUCCCCUUUCUUUACUUCUAUACAUGUACAAGCUUGAUUUUGCUUUUAAUUUUUUAAAUGAUUUGCCUAAUUUUUUUAAUUUUGAUGAAUUAUUUAUCUGGUUGAGUAUGUAUAGUCAUGACCUUUUAGAAAACAACUCAAUUCCGUUCAUUCCUCAUCUCUGUCACUUCCUUCCUUCCCUCUUUUCACUGUGUACAUGUCCAUAAAGUAAACCAUAGAUUAGUACAUCUGCAUAUCUUACAUAAAAAAUACCAUAAAAAUUCUGAUAAGAGACGAAUUGAAUUUUGCUCAGAUCAUCUGAAUGAAGCUUUAAAUUUUGUUAGCAGAUACUAGAGAGAGAAAGAUAAGAAGGGUAGUAAAUAAUACAGUAGUAGUAAUAAUAUUAAAUUUCAUCACAUUUCUUGUGAAAUUAAAAAGGGUUUUCUUUCCUUUUGCUUGUACCCAUUGUUGAGUAAAGCUUCAAUUUCGCGUAUAACUUAUAGCAUUUCACAUGUUAAGCAUCAAAAAAGGGGGGAAAUUGAGUGAUUGGGAGAGAGAAAUGUGUAAUUCAUUGAAAAAUGUUGGAUCAGGAAUUGGUUCCUGGUUGCGCGAAAAAAUUCUCGAUCCUCUGCUCCAAAUCCUGCAAAGGUACUUUUAAUUUUUAUUUGUUUAUGUAUAGAUAGAUACGUGUACUAUGUGUUUUUGUGUAAUAGUUAGAUUGCAUCUUUUAGUAAUUAAUAAUGUGUAUCUUUUUUGUUUGUCUAUUUAGUGGCUUGCUAAAUUAUCUGAUUCCUACAUAGUAUGUGUAGCCUUGGUGUUUUUUUAUUUGUUGUUAAUUGUUUGGCUGGGGGAAAAAGACAUUUUUGAAAAUUUUGGUAUAGUUUUCAUUCCAGACCUUUAAGUUGGAGAUAAGAUUGCAAAUAAUCUAGCUAAUGGGAGCAUUCAUUAAACUUCAAAAUUCAUGUUAGGGUGGAAAGUAGGUAAAAUUCAAGGGGUAAAUCACUGAAGUAAUCUUGUAAGCUAUUGUUUUAACAUUUUUCCCCAGAAAAAUAACUUCCGAACAAAAACCAAACAACUCAAGAUAACACAAGAUCAUAGGAGCCUGCAUAUAUAUUAAAAAAAAUCAAAUAGUAGAACCUAGGCACUAUGCAUUAGUUCUAACAUAUAUCCAUACCAAAUACUUAUCUCAUCUCCUAGGAACCAUUGUUCUGUACUUUGUUGUAAUUACUAAACACAAUAUCAAAGCAAUGCGUAGUAAAUGUGAAUAGGGUGUUAGUGUCCACAAUAUUUAAGUUACAAAGCUUCGAUAACAUCGUAACAGUUCUUUUAGAUUUUAACUAAAAAGUCAAGAAGUUGUUUUCUUUACUGCAUAAUUGUACUGGUAUAUUCAUUCAUCAAAAAAUAAAAAAUAUACAACAUGAACAUACUUUUAAUGUUUAUCCCUGGUUUUCAAACUAUCAGAUAUGCUCCACAGCUGCCCCUGGUUGUCCAGCACUGUCCUAACAGAGCUAAAAAUUGACAUAAGUCAGCAGCACCAAGUAGGCAGAGUUGAUAUUAUUUAUAACAAGAAAAAUAAAAUAACCCAGCAAAGUUUUAUGCGUAUCCUGCACGAAUGAAGAGUUGGGAGCAAGCAUUAUGUCUGUAGGGUAAGAAUUAUUCGUGAAGGCCAAGUAAAUUUCCUCUAGAAAUCAAAUACUCAAUCUUCUAUUAUAAAAGUAAGGAUCUUAUAAAACUAAGUGAUCUUAUAAAACUAAGGAUCUUAUACAACUAAGGAUAUUAUAAAGUAGAGAAAACAUAUCCAAUAUGCACUAUGUGAUUGCUGAAUGCAAAAAAUUUGACAAAAUUACUCAAAAAGCAUAAGCAGCAAGUACAUCAACACUGAAGGAUCUCAUAAAUAAAGAUUGAAAUACACCAACCUUUUACAAGAUUGACGUUUUGAGUUGAUAGUUCGUCAAAAUAUAAUAUUUCCUCCAUUCCUAAAAGAUUGAGUUUUAGAAAGUAAUUUUUGUUCUUAAAAGAUUGAUAUAAUAUCUCUACUUUCUCCUAUUUAAAGCUUUCUCCUAUUUAUAAUAUCUCUACUUUAUUCUUAUUUAAAGCUUUCUCCUAUUUAUUGUUGAAUAUAGCAUUGGGAUACAAAGUAUAAUUAAUUGAAUGGUAUACUCCUUUUUGGAAUCUACCAAGAUAAUAAUUGGCUGAGACAAUUAUAACAAGGGUAGUACAGUACUUUCUAUAGAUCUUAAGUUCAUUCCUUAAUCUAUGUGAAUAAACUUUAAACGGCAAUCUUUUAGAAACAGAGGGAGUAGUUGGUAAUUAUAAAUUGUUGAAAAAUGACAACUUAUUGACUAAUUUAGUAAUUACUUUUGAAAAAAAUAGAAAAAACUUAAUAAUAAAUUAGACAUGUUUUGAAUUUCUUUCUCUUUAUUUUUAAACAAAAAAGAAAUAUAAAAAUGAUUCUUACUAUUCUUUUCUUAGACAAAGUAACCACUUUUUUUUUAUAAUAGUAAUAAAAAAAGACAAUGAAAAUAUAAAAGAUGUUAAAAAGUCUAUUAAUAUUGAUAAACCGUAAGUAAUUUUAAAAAAAGAUAAUACACUUAAUCUAUGUAUAUGUGUGUUUGUAUGACAGAAGGAUCUCAUAAAUAAAGAUUGAAGUACGCCAACCUUUUACAAGGGGUUCCAACUUGGACUGCAACUAAUCAAUGUUUUUUUACAGGUAAUCCAUGCAAUAUAUAAGGCUUAUAUGACGAGGUCAGUUAAAGCAACUAUGUUGAUUAUAUCACGUUCUAGUCUAAUUUUUUGAUGAUGACUUAUUCAUUGGUACUAAAUUCUUCAUUAUGAAUUUCAGGAAAUUGUUUCAAGAAUUGUAUGAUGGAUUAUUCAAGAAGAAUGAAGACAUUUUGAGUCUUAAGAAAAAUAUGUAAGGUCAUUGCAAAUAUUUAAUUUUUCAAUUCAAGGCUCUAGGACAUUUUAGGUGUGCAUUUAAGUUGAUUAAAAAAAUUAAUGUUUCGUACAUGCUUAAUUUUAUGCUAACUGUUAUUACAUGAUUUAUUAUUAUACAUGCGUAAAAUGAUAAUUAUCCAGUUUAAUUGAAUUAUAUUACAUGUGUUAUAAGAGAGUUCUGAUUCUAUAUAAGCUGUAUAACAUGUGUGUAAUUUGUUGGAAGCACUAAAGCUUGUGGCGGUAAAGAUGUGAUCAUUAUCUGUUAGUUGAAUUAAAUACCCAAGUCUUGGGAAUAUAAGAUAAUGAUUAUCCUAGAGAGUUGUGUGAUAUUACACUUUCUUAUAUUUACAAAGUUAACACUCCAUUAUUUUUUGAAAGGCAGUAAUAUCU
rnacentral:lncRNA from 1 species